AGCUCCAAUAGCGUAUAUUAAAGUUGUUGCGGUUAAAAAGUUCGUAGUUGGAUUUCUGUGAAGGAUAACCGGUCCGCACUAUGUGCGUGUAUCUGUUUGUCCUUUGCAUCCUCGCGGAAUACGUCACUGUGCUUCACUGCAUGGGGCGGGCUUCGCGACUUUUACUUUGAGGAAAUUAGAGUGUUCACGGCAGGCUCACGCCAUGAAUAUAUUAGCAUGGAAUAAUAAUAUAGGACCUUGGUUCUAUUUUGUUGGUUUCUAGGGCUAAGGUAAUGAUUAAUAGGGACAAUUGGGGGCAUUCGUAUUAACGCGUCAGAGGUGGAAUUCUUGGAUUGCGUUACGACGAACUACUGCGAAAGCAUUUGCCAAGGAUGUUUUCA
rnacentral:rRNA from 1 species